rnacentral:rRNA from 1 species
GGGACCCGUCUUGAAACACGGACCAAGGAGUCUAGCAUGUGCGCGAGUCAUUGGGAUUUUUACUAAACCUAAAGGCGCAAUGAAAGUGAAGGUCCGCCUUGCGCGGACCGAGGGAGGAUGGACCGUUCCGAGGGACGGUUUCGCACUCCCGGGGCGUCUCGCUCUCAUCGCGAGAAGAGGCGCACCCAGAGCGUACACGCUGGGACCCGAAAGAUGGUGAACUAUGCCUGGUCAGGACGAAGUCAGGGGAAACCCUGAUGGAGGUCCGUAGCGAUUCUGACGUGCAAAUCGAUCGUCGGAACUGGGUAUAGGGGCGAAAGACUAAUCGAACCAUCUAGUAGCUGGUUCCCUCCGAAGUUUCCCUCAGGAUAGCUGGCGCUCGCUUCUCGCGAGUCUCAUUCGGUAAAGCGAAUGAUUAGAGGCAUUGGGGUCGAAACGGCCUCAACCUAUUCUCAAACUUUAAAUGGGUGAGAUCUCCGGCUUGCUUGAACUGUGAAGCCGCGAGAUAUCGGAUCAGAGUGCCAAGUGGGCCACUUUUGGUAAGCAGAACUGGCGCUGUGGGAUGAACCAAACGCAGAGUUAAAGCGCCUAAAUCGACGCUUAUGGGAUACCAUGAAAGGCGUUGGUAACUUAAGACAGCAGGACGGUGGCCAUGGAAGUCGGAAUCCGCUAAGGAGUGUGUAAA